rnacentral:rRNA from 1 species
UACGAAGGGGGCGAGCGUUGUUCGGAUUUACUGGGCGUAAAGGGCGCGUAGGCGGCCCUCCUAGUCGCGUGUGAAAUCCCCGGGCUUAACCUGGGAAUGGCAUUUGGGACUGCAAGGCUUGAGUGCGGCAGAGGAGACUGGAAUUCCUGGUGUAGCGGUGAAAUGCGCAGAUAUCAGGAGGAACACCAACGGCGAAGGCAGCUCUCUGGGACGUUACUGAGCUGAGACGCGAAAGCGUGGGGGAGCAAACAGG